rnacentral:rRNA from 1 species
AUAAUACUCCAUAGUCCAUGGAAUCUGGAAUGAUUCAUGGAUGAAAGUUCCGGCGCUUAAGGAUCGGUCUGCGGCCUAUCAGGUUGUAGUGGGUGUAACGUACCUACUAGCCGAUGACGGGUAUGGGCCUUGAGAGAGGGAGCCCAGAGUUGGAUUCUGAGACACGAAUCCAGGCCCUACGGGGCGCAGCAGUCGCGAAAACUUCACAAUGGGGGCAACCCCGAUGAGGGAAUUCCUAAUGCUAGCACAUUUGUGUUAGCUUUUCUUUAGCGUAGAUAACUAGAGGAAUAAGGGCUGGGAAAGACGGGUGCCAGCCGCCGCGGUAAUACCUGCAGCCCAAGUGGUGGUCGAGUUUAUUGAGUCUAAAACGUUCGUAGCCGGUUCGGUAAAUCUUUGGGUAAAUCGGAGGGCUUAACCUUCCGACUUCCGAGGAGACUGCCGAACUUGGGACCGGGAGAGGCUAGAGGUACUUCUGGGGUAGGGGUAAAAUCCUGUAAUCCUAGAAGGACCACCGGUGGCGAAGGCGUCUAGCUAGAACGGAUCCGACGGUGAGGGACGAAGCCCUGGGUCGCAAACGGGAUUAGAUACCCCGGUAGUCCAGGGUGUAAACGCUGCAGACUUGGUGU